UACGUAGGGUGCGAGCGUUAAUCGGAAUUACUGGGCGUAAAGCGUGCGCAGGCGGCUAUUUAAGCUUGCUGUGAAAGCCCCGGGCUUAACCUGGGAACUGCAGUGAGGACUGGAUGGCUGGAGUGUGGCAGAGGGGGGUGGAAUUCCACGUGUAGCAGUGAAAUGCGUAGAGAUCCGGAGGAACACCGAAGGCGAAGGCAGUGUCCUGGGGAGUACCUGACGCUCAGGUGCGAAAGCUAGGGGAGCGAACGGG
rnacentral:rRNA from 1 species